CCAUGCGAACGUCUGGGAGCUGGAGGGAAGGCUGUUUAUGGCUGGCUAGCUUUAUGGAGCGCGUGUCGAUGCAACUGUACGGAACAGCGCGACAUUUUCUCGAAACAGUGCUGAGAGGACCUGAGCCCUAGGACCGUGCCCCAGGACUACCUGACAUGAUGACUCCUUGCUGUCCCCGGUCCACCUGACUGUGCUGCUGCUCCAGUUUCAACUGUUCUGCCUUGUUAUUAUUCGACCAUGCUGGUCAUUUAUGAACAUUUGAACAUCUUGGCCAUGUUCUGUUAUAAUCUCCACCCGGCACAGCCAGAAGAGGACUGGCCACCCCACAUAGCCUGGUUCCUCUCUAGGUUUCUUCCUAGGUUUUGGCCUUUCUAGGGAGUUUUUCCUAGCCACCGUGCUUCUACACCUGCAUUGCUUGCUGUUUGGGGUUUUAGGCUGGGUUUCUGUACAGCACUUUGAGAUAUCAGCUGAUGUGCGAAGGGCUAUAUAAAUACAUUUGAUUUGA